UCCCCAGGCGGUCAACUUCACGCGUUAGCUACGUUACUGAGAAGAAACCCUCCCAACAACCAGUUGACAUCGUUUAGGGCGUGGACUACCAGGGUAUCUAAUCCUGUUUGCUCCCCACGCUUUCGUGCAUGAGCGUCAGUACAGGUCCAGGGGAUUGCCUUCGCCAUCGGUGUUCCUCCGCAUAUCUACGCAUUUCACUGCUACACGCGGAAUUCCAUCCCCCUCUACCGUACUCUAGCCAUGCAGUCACAAAGGCAGUUCCCAGGUUGAGCCCGGGGAUUUCACCUCUGUCUUGCAUAACCGCCUGCGCACGCUUUACGCCCAGUAAUUCCGAUUAACGCUUGCACCCUACGUAUUACCGCGGCUGCUGGCACGUAGUUAGCCGGUGCUUAUUCUUCAGGUACCGUCAUGAGUCCCAGGUAUUAACCAGAACCUUUUCUUCCCUGACAAAAGCGGUUUACAACCCGAAGGCCUUCUUCCCGCACGCGGCAUGGCUGGAUCAGGCUUGCGCCCAUUGUCCAAAAUUCCCCACUGCUGCCUCCCGU
rnacentral:rRNA from 1 species